rnacentral:rRNA from 1 species
AUUGAACGCUGGCGGCAGGCCUAACACAUGCAAGUCGAACGGUAGCACAGAGAGCUUGCUCUCGGGUGACGAGUGGCGGACGGGUGAGUAACGUCUGGGAAACUGCCCGAUGGAGGGGGAUAACUACUGGAAACGGUAGCUAAUACCGCAUAACGUCGCAAGACCAAAGUGGGGGACCUUCGGGCCUCACACCAUCGGAUGUGCCCAGAUGGGAUUAGCUAGUAGGUGGGGUAAUGGCUCACCUAGGCGACGAUCCCUAGCUGGUCUGAGAGGAUGACCAGCCACACUGGAACUGAGACACGGUCCAGACUCCUACGGGGGGCGGCAGUGGGGAAUAUUGCACAAUGGGCGCAAGCCUGAUGCGGCCAUGCCGCGUGUAUGAAGAAGGCCUUCGGGUUGUAAAGUACUUUCAGCGGGGAGGAAGGCGGUGAAGUUAAUAGCUUCACCGAUUGACGUUACCCGCAGAAGAAGCACCGGCUAACUCCGUGCCAGCCGCCGCCGUAA